rnacentral:lncRNA from 1 species
GCAUGUGUGUGUGUACGAGCAGAGGAGAAGAAAGGAAAGGGGAGCCCUUCUCAAACCCUAAGCAACAAAUUGGAAGGAUUCUGGCCGAAAUCGAACCUGCAUGAACCUUAAUAGUGAUAAUCUAAGCAAGAUGUAACCAAGGAAACAAUGUUUAUGAGAACGUGUCAAGGAGAGCUCAAGCACAGGAGGAUAACGGGUCAAGAUAAGGCAAGGUGACAAAUACACUUAUUGGAGUACUCAAGGUAAUGCAGGAAUGAGAACGACGGAUUCUCGUGGAAUGGAAGCUGAACUCGGAACAAGAGAAUCCGAGAGAAUAGUCGGAUAAAUCAAAGUUUACGUUGUCGAAUGUUAUACUAUUUAAUUAUAUGUGAAUUUAGUUGUACGAUGAUGUCAAUGACUAAUGGUUAAGUUGUAUGUGAUGCUCACAUGUACUACUCGGACUUCUUCUACCUUUAAGGAUGAUAAGCGGGCGUGGAUCGAGUCGAAGAGCAAGGAUUGUACGGAAAGAACGGCUACAUAGUUUGAAAUACGUAAUGCUUUGAAGCGUUAAUUUAAUGUAAAUAUUGUAAACCUCUUCCAGUAAAUGCUUAACAUUUUCGUAUUUGAGCUUUUAUGUAAGUAAUGUGUCUAAUAAAGAAAGAAAUUUCAAGGCU